GAUAAGGAGGGGAUCCCUGUUGAGAAAGAGGACACUGGCUUCUCUUUGUGGUCGAAGAGCUUGAAAGGAGAGUGAAUUGAGUAUAAUUCACUAAAUGAAUGAAUCCCCUACUUGGAAAGUACAGUGUGAAAGGAGGCAAGCCUCACCUAGCUGGGAUUCAGUCCUGUUUAGGCUCUGUUGUCAGAGCAACACAGGAAUGUUUGGUAACAAAGUCAAUGACCUCACAAAGCUCAAGGGCAAACUGGAGCCAGAGUGGGAGAGGACCUGAGGGUAGAGGAAGACCACCAUCAGACCUUGUCUUGGGAGAGCUCUUAUCACUCCAAGUCACUACUGAGACCAACAGAACAGCCUAUGCCAUACUUGAGAGGAAACUGAGCCUAUGUCAAGAGGAUAAACAUGAGGCAGUUUCUGAUCAACAACUGCCUUCUGCUAUUAUACCUGACCAUCUUGAUUUGUUGCUACCCCUACAUGGAAUCUGCUGUCCAUUCGCCACCGCCAAGCUUUGACACAGGUUUCAAAGAGAGAGUGGCCCGAAAGCCACUCCUGAGACAGAUCCUGUCUCUCAAGACUGGAAGUUGGAGAAGCUCCCAGAUGUCCUCCUUCCUGACUGACCUCUGGACCAACGUCAUGGACUUCUUUCCACGGUCGGCUAUUUAUGCUUUUCUGGUUUCCUCUGCGAUUAUAUCCUUUCUCUUCUGCCUCACGAAUGAAAGUCUCUCUUGGAGAAGGGUGGAGGAAGAAGAGGUAGGAGAUGUCUAUUUUGCCUCCCUAUGAGCCACACAUAACAGCCCUCACCACAGGAUUCUUGUGGAAGAUAGAAGCUCCUGAGAAUAUCCCAGAAAAUUUCUCAAAGUUCACUGCAGAGUCCAAAUUUGUCUUCCUGGGUCCUCAAACAAAGAAAACAGUUGUAAGGCUAUAAUGUCUUUCAAUUCUCUGCAUUAAAUUCAAUAUUUGAAAAUAAA